rnacentral:rRNA from 1 species
UGGGGAAUUUUUGGACAAUGGGCGAAAGCCUGAUCCAGCAAUGCCGCGUGUGUGAAGAAGGCCUUCGGGUUGUAAAGCACUUUUGUCCGGAAAGAAAUCCUUGGCUCUAAUACAGUCGGGGGAUGACGGUACCGGAAGAAUAAGCACCGGCUAACUACGUGCCAGCAGCCGCGGUAAUACGUAGGGUGCAAGCGUUAAUCGGAAUUACUGGGCGUAAAGCGUGCACAGGCGGUUUGCUAAGACCGAUGUGAAAUCCCCGGGCUCAACCUGGGAACUGCAUUGGUGACUGGCAGGCUAGAGUAUGGCAGAGGGGGGUAGAAUUGCCACGUGUAGCAGUGAAAUGCGUAGAGAUGUGGAGGAAUACCGACGGCGAA